rnacentral:rRNA from 1 species
UACAGAGGUGGCAAGCGUUGUUCGGAAUUACUGGGCGUAAAGGGCGCGUAGGCGGUUCGUUAAGUCCUGUGUGAAAUCCCCCGGCUCAACUGGGGAACUGCACAGGAAACUAGCGGGCUUGAGUUCGGGAGAGGGAAGCGGAAUUCCGGGUGUAGCGGUGAAAUGCGUAGAUAUCCGGAGGAACACCGGUGGCGAAGGCGGCAUCCUGGACCGGUAUUGACG